UAUAUAUUAAUUUGACUUUGGUUUUGUUUUUAAUUAUUAUAAUUUUAUACAUGUUAGGUUUAUUUAAUAUAUAUAUAUAUAUAUAUAUAUAUUGCGCUUUUAUGUUGAUAUUUAUUUUGUAUUUAUUAUAGUAAAGUUUAAUAUUUAUUAUAAGGGUACUUUUAAUUUAAUAUUAAGUGGUUUUUAAUAUGUUAAUUGAUAUUUCAGUAUAUUUAUUUAUACAAUAGAUGAGAGUUUUAUAUAGAAAUUAUAGAUUAUAAUUGGAUAAAUUUGUGCCAGCAUCUGCGGUUAUACUUAUAAUUAAGAUUAAAAGUUUUUGGUUUAAAGUAAAGUAAGACAAUUUUCUUUUAAAAGAAAAUUAUAUAGUUGGUUUUUUGGUAAAAUUUUUAGAAUUAGCUUGUUUGUUUGUGUUUUUCUUUAUUGUUAAUACUUUGAAAUUUUGAAAAUAAACUAGGAUUAGAUACCCUAUUAUUUCUUAUUGUAAAAAUUGAUUUUGUUUACCUAAGUAUUAUGAAAAUGACUAAGAUAGUUAGUUAUUGAUUGUUGUUUAAAACUUAAAAGGUUUGGCGGUUUUACAUAUCCAGUUAGGGGAGUUUGUUAAUAUAAUUUGAUAAUCCACAUUUUAAACUUACUUUUUUUUGAAUUAUAUAUAUAUAUAUAUAACGGUUUAUAUAUUGCUGUCGGCAGUUUAUAUUUUAAGAAUAAAAGGACUUUUGAAUUUUAGGAUUUAUAUGUCAAGUCAUAAUGUAGCUGAUAAAGAAGGUUUAAUGGACUACUAUAAUUUAUAUUAUUUACUUAUCCGGAUAAUGAAAAUUAAAUUUUGUUAGUAAGGUGGACUUGAUAGUAAACUUGAUUAUUAGUAUGUGUAGUUGAAUGUGGUUUUGUAAAGUGUACAUAUCGCCCGUCACUCUUGUUGUUUAAAUAAGAUAAGUCGUAACAUAGUAGAGGUAAUGGAAAUUGUUUCUGGAGGAGUAUAUAAUA